AACAAACGCUGGCGGCGUGCCUAAUACAUGCAAGUCGAACGGGGAAAGCUUUCGGGUGAGUACUAGUGGCGCACGGGUGAGUAACGCGUGAGUAAUCUUCCUUAGAGUGGGGGAUAACCAGUCGAAAGAUUGGCUAAUACCGCAUAAGACCACAAGAUCUGCGGAUCAAGGGGUAAAAGGUUUUUCGCUCUAAGAUGAGCUCGCGUGAGAUUAGCUAGUUGGUGAGGUAAUGGCUCACCAAGGCGACGAUCUCUAACAGGUCUGAGAGGAUGAUCUGUCACACUGGAACUGAGACACGGUCCAGACUCCUACGGGAGGCAGCAGUAGGGAAUAUUGCACAAUGGAGGAAACUCUGAUGCAGCGACGCCGCGUGAGUGAUGAAGGACUUCGGUUCGUAAAGCUCUGUCGUAUGGGAAUAAGAAAGUGAAUGUACCAUGCAAGAAGGAUCGGCUAACUUCGUGCCAGCAGCCGCGGUAA
rnacentral:rRNA from 1 species